AAGGAAGCCUAUCUGUAGCCUAAUAUGUAGCCCGUUUUGUUCAACUGUCUAGGUUUGCCCCUUUAAUGGUCACCCUCGAAAGCUGAAAAGUUAGGAAGUUUCUCAAAGGCCUUCGUGCUGACAUUUAUGACCAGCUCGUGAUGCUAAGACCUAGCUCGUAUAUGGAGGUGCUUGAAUAUACCCAGUUGGUCAAAGAUCUUAUCCGGCCAAGCACCAAUGCUUUGGCCGAGUUCGUGCCCAACAAUAACCCCAAUAG
rnacentral:lncRNA from 1 species